rnacentral:rRNA from 1 species
GACGAACGCUGGCGGCGUGCUUAACACAUGCAAGUCGAACGGAAAGGCCCUGCUUUUGUGCGGUGCUCGAGUGGCGAACGGGUGAGUAACACGUGAGUAACCUGCCCUUGACUUUGGGAUAACUUCAGGAAACUGGGGCUAAUACCGGAUAGGAGCUCCUGCUUCAUGGUGGGGGUUGGAAAGUUUCGGCGGUUGGGGCUGUACUCGCGGCUUAUCAGCUUGUUGGUGGGGUAGUGGCUUACCAAGGCUUUGACGGGUAGCCUGCCUGAGAGGGUGACCGGGCACAUUGGAUCUGAGGUACGGAGCAGACUCCUACGUGAGGCAGUAGUGGGGAAUAUUGCACGAUGAGCGGAAGCCUGAUGCAGCAACGUCGCGUGCGGGAUGACGGCAUUCGGGUUGUAAACCGCUUUCGCCUGUGACGAAGCGUGAGUGACGGUAAUGGGUAAAGAAGCAACGGCUAACUACGUG